AGGGUACUAACCUCUCUUAAGUGAGUGAGUAAGACUUUAAUUCUAACAAGCUUCUCUUACAAGUUUUUGAAAUAGCUUCUUCGGCCCUGUCAACCUUCUCCUCGAUCAUGUCUAUAUAUACACCUUGCCGCAGCUCAAGGAAACGACAUCUCAGGCUUCGGUCCACACAAGUCUCUCAUCUCAUUCCCUCGUUCUUUGCAUCUUGCUCUUGUUGAUCAUUGUUUGGGUUCCAACCCAUAUCACUUCCCACACUGCCGUCAUCAAUUACGCAUGGAUCAUGAGAUAAAAGAGCCACCACCUCUCUCAUCCACACUCUGUUCUCAACCCUCUCAAUUCAGUCAAAACACUCAAGAAACUUAUCCCCGUUACUUCCAACAAGACUUGAACGAAAGAAAGAAAAAAGGCACGUGCUUCACGUGCGGCCAGAAGGAUCACUGGUACCGGGAGUGUCCCUUCAAAUCCUCUAAUAACGAUUCCCAAAAUGCCAACAGCAUAUGGUGCCGCUGUGGCCAUGGCCGUUGCGAAAAGAGAACCUCAAAGAGUGAGAAAAACCCCGGCAGGAUGUACUACGUUUGCCCCAUCAAAAGGGGGGAAAAAUGUACUAACGGUUUUGUUAAAUGGUGCGAUGAUCCCGAUGUCGAGAGUGAUUGGUCGCAGCCUCCGCCGUUUAAGUAUCCUGAGUGUAAGUGUCCUGCUGGAGUGUGUAAAAGGGAGAAGGCAACACAUAAUGGCGUUGUUAAAUACUAUUUUACUUGCCCCGUUAAAGAGGGCCAUGGAAAUUGCGGUUACAAGGUAUGGGAGGAUGAGCUGCUACAUAAAAGAACUAAUGAUCAAGAUGACCAUGACUUCGAUGAGGGUGUUAAUUUGGCAGUAAAUCAUUCCAAAAAGAUGAGAAUCAUGGACAGUUCCGAGGAGGAUCCAACACCAAUGGCUGUAUCCGAGGCUGAGCUUUCACAGAGUGAAGAUGAAGCACUCGAGAAAGCAUCGCAGCUAUCUUGCCUAUCAGAAUCAACACCUUCAAGGAUCGGUGGGGAUCGACAGCAUGUGUUUCCAAGGCACAUUUUUGCUGGUGCUGGUGCUGGCGCUGGCGCUGAUCCAUCAUUUGAGAUGAGUGCUUCUAGUCCUAGUCAAGCUAAAGAACAAGAUGAUGAUACCAAACCUUUAUGGACCUAUGUUACAAAGAUAAAAAGUGUAGGUGGUGGUGGAAAUUAUGAGAUAAAAUGCAAUAUUUGUGAUUUUACCUUUAAUGGAUCUUACACUAGAGUGAGGGCACACUUGUUGAAGAUGACUGGAAAGGGAGUUAGAGUUUGUCAAAAGGUAACAAUUGACAGACUUAUAGAUUUGAAGAAGAUAGACAAUGAGGCAACAUUAAGGGUGGAGAAGUCAAAAACAAAAUCUGUAUCAUUGCCUCCAAUUUCUACUCAACACCAAAUGGAUACAAACACUCUUGGUGUUGAUCCAAAAAAGAAAAAGACAUCAACUAUAGAAAACGCCUUUAAUUUGCAAGCUAGAGAGACACUUGAUCAUGAAAUUGCUAGGAUGUUUUACUCUUCGGGGCUGCCUUUUCAUUUAGCAAGAAAUCCUCAUUAUAGGAAGGCGUUUGCCUAUGCCGCCAACAAUCAGAUCAGUGGUUACCAACCUCCAGGUUAUAAUAAAUUAAGGACAACAUUACUUCAAAAUGAGAGGAGACAUGUGGAGAACUUGUUACAACCAAUUAAAAAUGCAUGGAGCCAGAAGGGUGUGAGCAUUGUUAGUGAUGGAUGGAGUGACCCGCAAAGAAGAUCUCUUAUUAAUUUCAUGGCUGUCACAGAGAGUGGACCUAUGUUUUUAAAGGCCAUCGAUUGUUCAAAUGAGAUCAAAGACAAGGAUUUCAUUGCCAAACUUAUGAGGGAGGUAAUUAUGGAGGUUGGUCACUCAAAUGUUGUGCAAAUAGUGACGGAUAAUGCAGCUGUUUGUAAAGCAGCAAGUUUAAUAAUUGAGGCUGAGUUUCCUUCCAUCUAUUGGACUCCAUGUGUUGUCCACACAUUAAAUCUUGCUUUGAAGAACAUAUGUGCAGCCAAGAAUACAGAAAAAAACAAUUUUAUUUAUGAAGAAUGUUCUUGAAUCACCCAAAUUGCGGAUGAUGCAAUGUUUGUGAAAAAUUUUGUCACGAGUCACUCUAUGAGACUAUCAAUUUUCAAUUCAUUCAAUUCAUUGAAAUUACUAUCCAUUGCUCCAACAAGAUUUGCCUCCACUAUUGUAAUGCUUAAGAGAUUCAAGCAAUUGAAGAAAGGACUCCAAGAGAUGGUCAUUAGUGACCAAUGGUCUUCUUAUAAGGAAGAUGAUGUUGCAAAGGCUAAAUUUGUAAAAGAUACUUUGUUGGAUGAUAAAUGGUGGGAUAAGGUUGAUUAUAUUCUUUCUUUCACUAGCCCUAUCUAUGAUGUUCUUAGAAGAACUGAUACAGAAGCUUCAUCUCUCCAUCUAGUAUAUGAAAUGUGGGAUUCAAUGAUUGAAAAGGUAAAGAAUGCCAUAUAUCAAUAUGAGAGGAAGGAGGAGAGUGAAGGAUCAACCUUUUAUGAGGUAGUGCACUCCAUAUUAAUUGACCGUUGGACUAAGAGUAGCACUCCUCUCCAUUGUUUAGCUCAUUCCUUAAAUCCAAGAUAUUAUAGUCAUGAAUGGCUAAGUGAAGAUUCUAAUCGAGUUCCUCCACAUCAAGACUUGGAACUCACUCGUGAAAGAUUAAAAUGCUUCAAGAGGUUCUUUCUUGAUAUGGAUGUAAGGAGGAAAGUGAAUAUUGAGUUUGCCAACUUCUCGGAUGGAAGAGAAGGUUUUGAUGAUCUUAAUUCUUUAAAUGAUAGAGGUCAAAUGGAUCCAAAAGCUUGGUGGCUAGUUCAUGGCAUUAAUGCUCCAAUACUUCAAAAGGUUGCCCUUAAGCUACUUGCGCAACCUUGUUCAUCUUCAUGUUGUGAAAGGAAUUGGAGUACAUAUUCAUUCAUCCAUUCUUUAAAGAGAAACAAGAUGGCACCACAUAGAGCUGAAGAUUUAGUAUUUGUUCAUAGCAACUUACGACUUCUCUCAAGGAAUACUCCACAAUAUCAUCAAGAGGAAACUAAAAUGUGGGAUGUAGCCGGAGAUGAUUUUGGAUCACUUAAUGAUUGUGGUAUUCUUGAAAUUGCUAGUUUGUCUUUAGAUGAACCAGAGUUAGAAAGUGUCUUUUUCAAUGAUGAUUGCUAGUUUGUGGAAUUCUUGAAGACUUGAAGUUGCUAAUUCAUCAUCUUGCUUUAUAAUUGUUUUUUGUAAAGAAACAAAGCGUACAAAUUGUAUAAUGAGGUCUUUUAGUAUUUUUUUGUGACUCAUUAUCAUAGGAAAAGUUCUUUUUAGAUGAUGAUGAAUAUAUAAAUCUUGAUUUUUAAUUUAGA